CUGCAUAAUACAUAUAAUCAAACAAAUUAAGCAUCUACAUUAAAUUUUAACUGGAAACAUGUAUUUUUAACAGCAUGAAUGAAUUAUAGAAAGAUUUGGAAUAUUCUAUGUUUGACUUUUCACCUAAUAUGUAUAGAUCUUGCUAUCCAGCUUGGAAAAUCAUGUUAUGACGUUAUCUUUUUAUUCUACAUUUCCUUACUUUAGAGAUAUUCCUAAAGUAGGUGACUUCACUGGCAGAAAUGUAGUAAAGGAAUAUCCCCUCAGGAUCACAGUACCAUCCUAUACAAUUUCAUCUUUCCAUUCCUCGUCCCUUACAUGCUAUCAAGGCACUCAAAUAAAUACCACCACAAGAAAGAAAAAUGUUCAAUAUGCACAAGAACAAAGAAGUGCCAUUAUUAAGCACGGUGCCUCAAAGCUCUUUUUGCCAAUACAAGGUGGUAUAAGAAGGACUCUCUCUUAGGAAGCUCAGAGGAAAAGCUCCUCCUCCCGGUUUAAGUAAUUUCUGGAUGUGUGGGGUGAUAAUUCUCUUUCCAUAUUUAUUAUCUGUAGGAAGUAACAUCCACAUACAUCUCCAUGCCCAGAGAGGUCAUUCCAGUCUAUGAAUCUAAGACCCCGAGAGAAACAUCUCAAUAGUCUUCUCAACCCAGGGGCUGGGUCACAGAAGUAUCCUGGCCUGCCUUGACAACACGAGUUCCUUCUUUCCAUUGUCUGUCCAUUCUGGCUUCUAAAAACUUUAAAGGAUUUUUUAAAUCUGCUUCUCAAAACUUAGGGAAAGCAUGGAAGCAUAUAUUUCCUUUGUUCUCCCACAAUUUUUCAGAAUUCACAAAGCGUAAGAGAGAUCAAAGAAUAAAGACAGUUCUUUUAUUUCUGCAACACUUUCACAAAGUAUCAAGAAACAGGGAAAACAUGAUGAUAAUGCUAUCUGCCAGAGAUAGGUAGCUCUAUCUAUUGAUUCAUCUACAAAAAGCAAACAGUAUGCUUGAGCUUGAGGAAUUCACAAGGAUAUUCACACGGCUGUUUUAAAUCUAAGUCUAGCUGUUAGAUAUUCUGUACAUAAAAAACAGGAAAGAAAUCUUAAGAAAAACAAUAAAUCUUAAAGUGAUCCUCCAUCAAUACUAAAAAGAAGAAAAAGGUGCACAUUACAAUAACACAAGCACGCAUCAAACACACAACUUCAUUUUACCAUUACAUUAAGUUUCUGGACCGAGUGCAGCAGUGGUUAAUGAGCUCACCUAGGGAUGGAUCCAAACUAAAAGUGUGUGUGUGUGUGUGUGUGUUGGGAGGUGGGGUGCUGGUUCCUGACACAUUAAGCAAGGUGAUACAGCAGAAAGACUUAGAUUUGAUUCAGAUGAUCUGCAUUUGAAUCCCAAUUCUACCACCAUGUAUGCAAUCCCAAGCAAAGCAUUUAGCCUCUCCAGUCUCAGUUCUCUCAUUUGUAACAUAUGGAAAAUAAUGACAUGAACCCUGGCUAUCUCAUUUAUUGUGUGAGUCAAGAUAAUAGAGGCGAAACAAUGCAGCCUGUUAGGAGUACUGGCCUUGGCAUCACAGUCUUACUUUGAACACUUUCUAUACGACCUAUGGCAAAUUCCUUGGAAUCCUGGGUUUCCUUUUCUCUAAACCAGGGCUAUCUCUUCUGCCUCUGGGCACCGUGAUGGGGAUCAAAUGAGAGAACACCUGAUAUGAUAUCUGGAAAGCUGUACACCAUGACACAAAUGCUAAUGUUAUUGACUGACAGAGGGUCAUGCAAAUGUAAGUUAUUAUCUGCCUACUGAUGUAUAUCAGGCGACUUUGAGUGUUAAACCAAAAUUCGUCAAUGGUGGAAAAAACCCACACUCUUUUAGAGGCUUUCUUUCCCUUUAUCCUUUCCUCAGCACAUGUUUAGUGAACAGCUCUCCACAUCAAAAACCUCACAGCCUGGGUUCUAAGCAGAACCGGCAUACGGGGAAAAUAAAUAGAAUGAAGAAAAGAGCUUGACACCACUGAGAGCUGCUCUGUCUUUGCAACGAUUCUACCUGCAAGGAAGGGAACCCUGUGAGGUGAGCAAAAGGGGAAAGGAAAAAAUUCCCUUCCUCCAAUUCAAGUUGUUUCCCAGGGAGAGACUCCAUCCCAUCUAUGAUGGACUCUGCCAUGACAGUGACUCCCAGGAUUUAUAUCGCAGGGCACACUGGCCUGAUUACUCAGCCACCAACUCCAUCAGCAGCCUGAGGAAGGAGGUGGCUACUUAACAGUAGAAGAAAAAUAAGGAGCAGAACCUGGGACCUGGUUAUCCUUAGGGCACAUGAUUAGUUUUAGUUUUUGUUUUUGUUUUUUUAAGUUGGAAGUAUCCAGCUCAUGGGUAGAGUUGAUAGCUGACCAAAAAACAGCAACUAAAAGGAAUGAACUAAAAGUCAUCAGUCCUAAAAUAAAAGUUCACUGAGGUCAGAAUUUUUUUCGUUUAUUAAUGUAUUACAAGCACUGAGAACAGUGUCUGGCAUCUAGUAGAUGCUCGAUAAAUAUUUAUUCAAUGGAUGGAUGGACAGAUAGAUGGACAGACAGAUGGGGAGAUGAAUGGAUGAAUAGGUCCUUCCUGUGGGUCCAGGAAGAGCUGUACCAAAACCACUCUUCUUUCCACACACCUCCAAAGAAAGUGAGUGAUUCCAAAAUGCAAUUUACAUGCCAUUUUCUGACCAAUUCAAACAGCCAGAAGGGCCUGUCUGAAUUAGGGAUGGCUGUCUACGACAGUACGUUAAAGAAUAGUAGGACGAUUCCUUCUACUUUCAUCGGGGCUACAAUAUCCUUGGUAGAUCACAUCUGUUUUCAUAAAUCUAAGAAAGGUUUGUAUUAUAAUUAUAUUACCGUUGUGUGUAAGUGACAUACCAAUACAUUUUUAUUGAAUACUUACAUUACACACUACGAAAAACUUAAAGGUGCUAUCUUGUUUGCUUGAAUACUUAAAACAUUCCUCCUGAAGUCGUCUUUAUGCUAUUAACUUAUUUAAUGUUUCUUUACUUCUGAGUAAAUAUUUUUACUGGUAAAGACAAAGAUAAACCUGAGUUCCCCAGGACAAAAGAUCAAAACUUUGAGAAUAGCAGAGUUUAGAUGAAUGCAUCUUUUUUGUAAAUUAGUUUUCAUUUACUUUCUAAGUACGGAUCUGGAACAAAAGUCAACAGACUGUUGAAGCCGAGUUUCUCUCCUCCCAGGCAUCUAGGCCUGACAAUCAGCUGUAAUGUAUCUUUGAACAGCUCUGUCUCUACCAGGCAGAUAUAGUUAACUCCACAAUUAAUAUUUUAAACCAUCAAAAGUCAAAUGAUUUAUUUUAAAUGCCUUUUUAACUUUUCAACUUCUUUCUCAUUUAUUUCAUUUCUAGUUUUCAUUCCCUAUGGUUAAAAUAUAUAUGUAUACGUAUAUACGUAUGUAUGUAGGUAUACACACACACAUUUCCUUUUCUAUUAUGUGAACACAAAGGAAAAGAACACAUUCAGUUUUCUUUCCCCUAGUUCUCAGGUUAUAAUUCAUAUUGCAAAGAAAAGGUUUAAAUUUUUAAAAAUGCCAGACUCAUGCAUAGUAGGUGCUCUAGAAAUGUCUGUAGAAUUGUAAAUUAAGAAUAAAGAAAGUAUAAAUAAAACACAGAAACUCAAGGAACUGAGAGUGUUUGGCCUAGGAAAGAGAAGAUGAAGGAGGAAAAAAAUAAUGAUUUUCAAAUAUCUGAGCUGCCUUUGUGCAGAAGAGCGAUGGAUUUGUUUUACACUGUGUCCCCGGGGAGACCUCAGACAGAUGAGGGGAAAGUUUCACUGAGGCACAGUCAGUUCAUCAAGAGAAAAAACAGCCUGUUUGAUGUAUAUAAUAGCCUAACGGCUUUUUGUUAAAUAAUAAUUAUCUCGAAGGCUCCUUUAAGAUAGAAAAAUUCUGUGAUAGUACCACUGAUUUCUAGAAGUUAUUUAGACAAUAUCCAGAUGACAUGAGCCAGCCCUGUGGUAGCUGUAAGUCCUGGUAGGUCCACUGGGUAGGAGUUUAAAAUUGGAUCCCUUUCGAAUCUGUAAUUCUAAAAUUGUUAAUGUCCUCUUUCAGAUGCCUCAAAAACAAGCUUAGGGGUUUUGCUUAAAAAAAACACAAAAGGCAAAUGAAUAUCAUAAAUGUUUGCUUUAUGAUCUUCUAGAAAAUAAUUUUUUAGUAACUAAUUUCUAACUCCUUAUGGAAUAUCUGCUGGACGCAUCUGCUGGACCCAUCUGCCUGGAAACAAGCUUUCUUUAAACCAUCUAGGUCCACCUUACUAUCAAUACAUAGGUAGGAGCCGGAUUUCCACAUGGGAUGGAGUAAUGAGUCUGCCCUACUCUGCAGUCUUGUUCCCACCAGGAAGGAAGAAACCACCCAUUAAUUUCACAUGGUCACUGGUAUUUCCGAUGACAACCCCUUAGUCCAACUAAGAUCACAUCAGUAUGUUUAAAAAAAGAGCAGGAGUUUGGAGUCACACAUAAUUUGUGAACUCCAUCCCAUUACUUCCUGUCUCUGAACGUCACACUUGCCAUCUUUAAGAUGGGGCGAGAUCCGUGGUGUUAGUCCUGGAACCUACUUCACUUCACUUUGUAGGCGGUUACAAAGACCAAAUGAGAACAGAAACAUUUAUGGAAACCUAUCGGGCUAUUCACAGGCGGGGGACUGUCCUCUGGGUAAAUUUAGAAAACAACAAAACAUAAAAUAAUAGCAAAUUUUGCCUUUUAAUUAUUUAGAUAAUAAUUAAAUGAAUACAACCUGUUUUGACUUGUUUAAAAAAAUCAACAUUAGGUCUCAGAUCUCAUAAUUUUGGAUUUUUCACUGUGGUUGACAGUCUGAUGAUCUCAGUGUGGGAUCUUAUAAAUGAAAAGGCCCAAAAGGGCUGUCUGCUUGUAGUAAAUGCCCAGAUGACCACGCACACCGUGUCCCAUCACCUAUUUCAAAAGAGCCCUUCAACUCUCUCAUAUCUUUAGUGUCUCUCACUGAGGUCCCUAAGUCCUGACAGCCCCACAGUGGCCAUCCAUCUCUGCAGUGUCCGUAGCAGCAGGCUGUCUCCUUGCCUGCCUCAUUAACUAUUUGAGCCCUUUCAAAGUGCCAACAGAGUUUGGUAAGGGUUUCUUCGUCCUCCAUCCCCUCACCGUCAUCUUCUGCCUGGUUAUAAUUCAUCCACUGAACAAAAAGCCCAGCCCAGGAAACAAAUUAUUUGAUGCGGUUAAUUAACAGUGUGGAAACCCAUGCAACCUUUAGGGGGAAGAUGGCUAGUGGGAGGAAAACCUAUAGAUGGUUUUUAUAUUCAUUGGCAAGCCCAUUUCUCAAAACAUUGGUCUCAAUACAACAAGAUAGAUGUAGAAUUUGGCUUUGUUUUUUCUCUCCAUGUCUAUGUGAGGAGUUUCCUCACCAUUUACAUGAUUUCUGUGCAAUCUCAGAUAAAUCUAAAUUAAAAUGACCUUAGAGCUCCUCUCACCUCCAGACAGGUGUCCCCUGGAAGUUGGAAUACAACAAGCCCUGAUUAACACAUGAUGUCAGUGGAAAAAACAGUUGUUCAUAAAACUACCCUGCAGACUGGCAGCAAGGGAAGGGCUUGUGGAGACGGUACCCUUAAUUUUGGUCUCCUUAGUGCUGAGUUGGUAGUCGGAAGGGUUCACGAAGUCCUAAGAGAUAAACAGUCUCCCAUUGGUGAGUUUAGAGGUAACUGAGAAAAAGGUUUCCCCUCCACGUGUCACCCAUACAGAUUACCAGAGAGGAGAACUAAUGUCUUGGAUAGGAAUAAACAAGAACUCAUCCUCUAGAGAAGAUGCAGAAACCUGUCUCUCUUCCUAUGAGCCUCUUUGCCCAACUCCCAACAAGUGACAGACAGCCAGGUUGCUUAAAACCCCUUUCAUCUAAAAAAACCAUCAGAGUUGAGAAGAAUCCUACCUUCAACAUUCCCCAUCUCUCUCUCUCCUUUCUCUCUCUCUCUUUUUCUCUCCCUCUUCCUCUCUUUCCCUCUCUCUCUCUCCCUCACACCACACACACACACACACACACACACACACACACACACACACACACACAGUAUAAGGAGAACCUGGAACACAUCCCCAAGCCUCCCAUCUUUUCAGUCUUUGGUUAGAAACUUUCUGAUAACAAAAUCUAUCACAGGAAUGCAUCUUCUUCUUUAAGAAGGUGUUAUUUCCCUGGGAUAAUUAUUAGUGAACACAUUGGCUAAUUAAAACCAACAGAUUACAAAACAUAGCUUAAAGUAUCACAGGGAUGGGAUCUGCUUCCGCUAUAUGGGCUGUGGCAGACGUGUAACUGGUUCCUGAGAUUUUUCACUCGAGGCCUUGGCCACCAGCUCAUGUUCUCAACCAGCUGCGUGCAGAAGGCCAACAGCUUUGCUCAUCAAAAAUGCAAUUUCCCACACACGGAGGGCAAUAGAACAAAACUAUUUUCUUUCAUUGCCAAAUGAAUUGUGUUUGGUAAUCUGAAAGCAUCAUAAAUUGUAAAGAUACAGACCCAAGAAGGAUCAUGCAUUUUAUGCUGGCUGUAAUGCAGAGAGAGCACUGUGUAGAUACAAACGAAGUGGCUGUUUCUGGUCCAUGGAGAAAGGAUGCAGAUCUUGGGAGCUGAGUUCAUAAUCUGACAUUCAGGUUUGCCUCUGUGAUUCCUCUAUAUGUUCCACCAAAGCAUUUCCUUGUCUUAUAUAAACAGAAACAUGCAUGUCAGUACACAAUUUCAUUAGUUAUCCCCUUUCACUUACACCUCCUUUGUAGGAAACCCACAAUGGUUUCCCACCACCAACCACAUCAAGCCUACAAUCCUGCCUUGAAUGUGAGGCACCAUGUUGAAUUGGAAAGAGCAUGGCUUUAGACAGAUGUGGGUGCAUACCACCACGUACACUUUCUAUAAAUGGAGACAAUGUUACUAAAUGGACAGGGUUGUUGGAGAAUUAAGUGACAAAAUACAUAUGUGAACUAUCUACUUUAAAUUCCUUUUGCCUCCUCUCCAUAAUCUGACCCUACUCCUCCUGUCUGUCUUAGUCCAUUCAGGCUGUUACAACAAAAAUACCAUAGACUGGUAGCCAUCAGUCUAUAAACAGCAGAAAUUUAUUUCUUACAGUUAUGGAGGCUGGGAAGUCCAAAAUCAGGGUGCCAGCAGAUGUCACUGGUGAGAGCCCGCUUCCUGAUUCACAGAUGGCCGUCUUCUUGCUGUGUCCUCACAUGGACAGGGCGAGGGAGUUUUC
ensembl:lncRNA